UACGUAGGGGGCAAGCGUUGUCCGGAUUUACUGGGCGUAAAGAGCGUGUAGGCGGCCAAACAGGUCCGUUGUGAAAACUGGAGGCUCAACUUCCAGACGUCGACGGAAACCGUAUGGCUAGAGUCCGGAAGAGGAGAGUGGAAUUCCUGGUGUAGCGGUGAAAUGCGCAGAUAUCAGGAAGAACACCAAUGGCGAAGGCAGCUCUCUGGGACGGUACUGACGCUGAGACGCGAAAGCGUGGGGAGCGAACAGG
rnacentral:rRNA from 1 species